UACAGAGGUCUCGAGCGUUGUUCGGAUUCAUUGGGCGUAAAGGGUGCGUAGGCGGCUUAUUAAGUCAGUGGUGAAAGCUCCAUGCUUAACAUGGAAAUUGCCAUUGAUACUGAUGAGCUUGAGUAGAUUUGAAGUGGGCGGAAUGUGUCGUGUAGCGGUGAAAUGCUUAGAUAUGACACAGAACACCGAUUGCGUAGGCAGCUCACUAAACUCUUACUGACGCUGAGGCACGAAAGCAUGGGGAUCAAACAGG
rnacentral:rRNA from 1 species